AAAGUGGGUUGGACGAUCGCUGGGGCUUUUAAGGCUGCCAGAGGAAGGUCCGGACUCCAUUGGACAAGGUGCUGGCUAAGGGCCAGGCGCAGCAAGUUGCGGUUCGUCUUCGGGCGGCCAAGACCCAAGGCGACGGAAAGUGGCACAGAAAAUAUACCGCCUGCAGGGUUUCGAUCCGGCGGGUAAGGGUGAAAAGGUGGGGUAAGAGCCCACCGCGGCGCUGGUGACAGCGCUGGCAGGCUAAACCCCACCUGGAGCAACACCAAAUAGGCAUGCGCGCGCCUGAGCUUUGCCCAGGCCCAUCGACGGUCCGUCGCUGAAGGCGUAUGCGGGUAGGUGGCAUGAGCGCGCUCGUAAGCGCGCGCCCAGAGGAAUGAUCGUCAGGCUUUCAGCCCUACAGAAUCCGGCCUAUAGACCCGCUUUCCCC
rnacentral:RNase_P_RNA from 3 species